rnacentral:rRNA from 1 species
UACGUAGGCAGCGAGCGUUGUUCGGAGUUACUGGGCGUAAAGGGUGUGUAGGCGGUUGUUUAAGUUUGGUGUGAAAUCUCCCGGCUCAACUGGGAGGGUGCGCCGAAUACUGAAUGACUCGAGUGUGGGAGAGGUGAGUGGAAUUCCUGGUGUAGCGGUGAAAUGCGUAGAUAUCAGGAGGAACACCGGUGGCGAAAGCGGCGCGCUGGAUCCCUUCUGACGCUGAGGCGCGAAAGCCAGGGGAGCAAACGGG